rnacentral:misc_RNA from 1 species
AAGAUUCGGCCCUCGGGCCUACCUCUCCAGCUGUGCGCUUCGGCUGCACGCUGUUGAAACUCUCACACCUGUGAACAUUCCGGUUGUGAGUUGCCUUAUGGCUUCUCACUUCCGCCUUUACAUAAAACUACAAAGUCUAGAAUGUAAAAACUAUAAAGUAA